CAUAUCAAUAAGCGGAGGAAAAGAAACCAACAGGGAUUGCCCUAGUAACGGCGAGUGAAGCGGCAACAGCUCAAAUUUGAAAUCUGGCUCUCUUUGGGGGUCCGAGUUGUAAUUUGCAGAGGAUGCUUUGGCAUUGGCGGCGGUCUAAGUUCCUUGGAACAGGACAUCGCAGAGGGUGAGAAUCCCGUACGUGGGCGCCUGCCUUUGCCGUGUAAAGCUCCUUCGACGAGUCGAGUUGUUUGGGAAUGCAGCUCUAAAUGGGAGGUAAAUUUCUUCUAAAGCUAAAUACCGGCCAGAGACCGAUAGCGCACAAGUAGAGUGAUCGAAAGAUGAAAAGUACUUUGGAAAGAGAGUCAAAAAGCACGUGAAAUUGUUGAAAGGGAAGCGCUUGCAGCCAGACUUGCCCGCAGUUGCUCACCUAGGCUUUGGCCUGGGGCACUCUUCUGCGGGCAGGCCAGCAUCAGUUUGGGCGGUUGGAUAAAGGCCUCUGUCACGUAUCUCCCUUCGGGGUGACCUUAUAGGGGAGGCGUAAUGCAACCAGCCCGGACUGAGGUCCGCGCAUCUGCUAGGAUGCUGGCGUAAUGGCUGUAAGCGGCCCGUCUUGAAACACGGACCAAGGAGUCUAACAUCUAUGCGAGUGUUUGGGUGUCAAGCCCGGGCGCGCAAUGAAAGUGAACGGAGGUGGGAACCCUUUGGGUGCACCAUCGACCGAUCCUGAUGUCUUCGGAUGGAUUUGAGUAAGAGCAUAGCUGUUGGGACCCGAAAGAUGGUGAACUAUGCUUGAAUAGGGUGAAGCCAGAGGAAACUCUGGUGGAGGCUCGCAGCGGUUCUGACGUGCAAAUCGAUCGUCAAAUUUGGGCAUAGGGGCGAAAGACUAAUCGAACCAUCUAGUAGCUGGUUCCUGC
rnacentral:rRNA from 1 species